rnacentral:lncRNA from 1 species
CUUUACUACUUCACACGUGAACUAUGUUUAGUUUCUGACUAAUACUGAGUCAGGCGCUGUAAAAGUUGUCACAGGUACAACUUUUCCCGAUUAAAAUCAUUCAAGAAAAGUCAUCCUCUAUAUUAAAAUGCCACAGCUUGAACAACACAAGAAACCAUGGGCUGCAGCAUGAGGUGAUGUUGUUUCUCUUCAGUGGACAAUGGUUUUGUACAGAAUGUUCAGCUGGUAGAUGAGGUGAGCCCCUCUCUGGAGUGACUCCCCAGGAAGAGAAAACGAGGUAGGACAAAUCUCUAACAUGACUGAUUACUGUCCCCACCAUCUCCCCUGUUCAUAUCUUGAACA